rnacentral:rRNA from 1 species
AGUGAACGCUGGCGGUAGGCCUAACACAUGCAAGUCGAACGGCAGCACAGUAAGAGCUUGCUCUUACGGGUGGCGAGUGGCGGACGGGUGAGGAAUACAUCGGAAUCUACUUUUUCGUGGGGGAUAACGUAGGGAAACUUACGCUAAUACCGCAUACGACCUACGGGUGAAAGCAGGGGAUCUUCGGACCUUGCGCGAUUGAAUGAGCCGAUGUCGGAUUAGCUAGUUGGCGGGGUAAAGGCCCACCAAGGCGACGAUCCGUAGCUGGUCUGAGAGGAUGAUCAGCCACACUGGAACUGAGACACGGUACAGACUCCUACGGGAGGCAGCAGUGGGGAAUAUUGGACAAUGGGCGCAAGCCUGAUCCAGCCAUACCGCGUGGGUGAAGAAGGCCUUCGGGUUGUAAAGCCCUUUUGUUGGGAAAGAAAAGCAGCAAGUUAAUACCCCGCUGUUCUGACGGUACCCAAAGAAUAAGCACCGGCUAACUUCGUG